rnacentral:lncRNA from 1 species
GGUCAUCAUAAGCCAGCCAUGGUCGUUCAUCUCUGGCCAGACCCUCAUACAGAGUCUCGAAGAAUCGGCCGAUCUGAUCCGGAUUGUUCCCUAAACCGGGUAAGACUAUAACGGCUUCGCCAAAGUUCAAGGGGGCACGCGUUGCCGAUUCCUCUUCACCCAACACAUGAUUUUCGGCUAUAUCUCUUGGGAAGUGCUGUGAGAACAAGUUGAAAUCAAGGCGCUUAUGCAGGUGCAGAUUGAGCC